CUCUUGGCCUCCUUCUGCUGCCUGCUGGUGCUGGCCUGUGCAGGAAGCAGACCUUAUUUGCACCUCCUGUCCAAAGAACUAGUCAACUAUAUCAACAAACAAAACACCACGCAACAGGCCGGGCACAACUUCUGCAAAAUGGAAUGAGCUACCUGAUGAGGCCAUGUGGUACCUUCCUCGGCAGAUCCAAGCUACUCCAGAGAGUUAAGUUUGCUAGGACAUAAAUCUGCCUGAAAGCUUUGAUCCACAGGAACAGUGGCCAGACUGACCUCAGAGAGAUCAGGGACCAGGGCUCCUAUGGCUUUUGCUGGGUUUUGGGGGCUUUGGAAGCCAUCUCUGACUGGAUCUGCAUCCACCCCAAUGUCUCAGGGAGGAAAUCAUGUGGCGGUGUCCGUGGAGGACAAGCUCACCUGUUUGUGUGGGGACGGCUGCAAUGGUGGUGAUCCCAAUGAAGGUUGGAACUUUUGGACAAGAAAAGGCCUGGUUUCUGGUGGCCUCUAUGACUCUCAUGUAGGUUGAAGACUUUUUCCAUCCCUCCUUCCCUGUGAGCACCACAUCCAUGGCUCCAUACGUGCGGAAGGGAGACCCCCCAAGUGCAGCAUGACCUGCGAGCCUGGCCAGACCUACAAAUAGGACAAGCACUAUGGAUGCAGUUCUUACAGUGUCUCCGAAGCACAAAGGACAUCAUGGCCACGAUCUACAAAAAUGACCCAGUGGAGGAAGCCUUCUCUGUGUAUUUGGACUUCCUGCUGUACAAGCUCAAAGAAUAGCAAGGCGUCACUGGAGAGAUGAUGGAGGCCAUGCCAUCUGCAUCCUGGGCUGCAAAGUGGAGAACAGCACGUCCUACUGGCUGGUUGCAAAUCCUGGAAUAGGUACUGGCGUGAUAAUGGCUGUGACAAUAACUUCUUUAAAAUCCUCAGAGGACAAGAUCACUAUGGAAUUGAAUCUGAAGUGGUGGCUGAAAUUCCACACACUGAGCAGUACUGGGAAAA
rnacentral:lncRNA from 1 species